GGCCGGCCUCUCCUUUUCCUAGUGUAAAUAGGGUUCCCUCUCCCCCCUUUUUAUUUUAUUUUCCUUUCUCUCUUCUUAAAUUCCUUCCUGACUUCAAUUUAGAAGAAAACAAACAAAAAUCUGGAAGCAUACAUUUGUUAAUGACAGUUGUCAGUGCUUCAUCUUACCUUUGUGAGUUACUUACCGGUAGUUACAGAAACAUAAAGCAAUGUCUACCUGUAAGAAAAGGCAGAGCUUAACCCUUUAAGGAGUGAGCCAGUUGUACACGUUGUGAUCAAAGCAAAGUGUAAACAAAAC